AUCCGUGGCAAGAGCGCAAUGGACCCACCCCGUCCCAUCCCGAACCGGGCAGUGAAACGUUGCAGCGCCGAGGGUACUGCCGCCUCAAGGCGGUGGGAGACUAGGCCGUCGCGGGUC
rnacentral:rRNA from 1 species